UAACAAGCUAAGAAGAGGAAGAGUAAAAUAGAAACAAUUUUCAGAGAUGAUAAGUCGUGGGCUGAAAGCUUAUCUAAAUAUGACUAUUUGAAAACUACCUUGGAGCGGAAUUUAGUAGCAUUACUAGUGUGUGAAAAGAUUCGGUUGACUACCUUACAGUCAUCAAGAGGGCAUUAUAUAUGCCAACUUGGGUGGAACCGCGAAUUAAUAACUCGUCCCAAAU
rnacentral:ncRNA from 1 species